GACGAACGCUGGCGGCGUGCCUAAUACAUGCAAGUAGAACGCACAGUUUAUACCGUAGCUUGCUACACCAUAGACUGUGAGUUGCGAACGGGUGAGUAACGCGUAGGUAACCUGCCUGGUAGCGGGGGAUAACUAUUGGAAACGAUAGCUAAUACCGCAUAAUAUUGAUUAUUGCAUGAUAAUUGAUUGAAGGAUGCUAUUGCAUCACUACCAGAUGGACCUGCGUUGUAUUAGCUAGUAGGUGAGGUAACGGCUCACCUAGGCGACGAUACAUAGCAGACCUGAGAGGGUGAUCCGCCACACUGGGACUGAGACACGGCCCAGACUCCUACGGGAGGCAGCAGUAGGGAAUCUUCGGCAAUGGACGAAAGUCUGACCGAGCAACGCCGCGUGAGUGAAGAAGGUUUUCGGAUCGUAAAGCUCUGUUGUAAGAGAAGAACGGGUGUGAGAGUGGAAAGUUCACACUGUGACGGUAUCUUACCAGAAAGGGACGGCUAACUACGUG
rnacentral:rRNA from 1 species